GUCGAAACACUGGUUCCCGUAAUAUCAGCGAACUGAAGCAACGUCGAGCCUAGUCAGUACCUACAUGGGUGACCGCUUGAGAAUGCCAGGUGUUGUAAU